UUUCCGUAGGUGAACCUGCGGAAGGAUCAUUACUGUGGGGGAUUGUCCCCAUUAGAUAGAUACCCUUUGUUUAUGAGUACCACUUGUUUCCUCGGCAGGCCUGCCUGCCGCUAGGACACUUCUAUAAACCUUUUGCAGUUGCAGUACCUUCAGUAAUAAAAACAAAAAAUAUCAAAACUUUCAACAACGGAUCUCUUGGUUCUGGCAUCGAUGAAGAACGCAGC
rnacentral:misc_RNA from 1 species